rnacentral:rRNA from 1 species
AGAUAUGAUCCAGAGUACCACGGGACACGUGAAACCCUGUGGGAAGCAGGAGGGACCACCCUCCAAGGCUAAAUACUACCUAGUGACCGAUAGCGUAUAGUACCGUGAGGGAAAGGUGAAAAGAACCCCGGGAGGGGAGUGAAAUAGAACCUGAAACCCUGCACUUACAAGCUGUGGAAGCACAUUUCUUGUGUGACCGCGUACUUUUUGUAGAACGGGCCAACGAGUUACGUUAAGUAGCAAGGUUAAGCACUUAAGGUGUGGAGCCGUAGCGAAAGCGAGUUUUAACUGAGCGUUCAGUUACUUGACGUAGACCCGAAACCGGGCGACCUACCCAUGAGCAGGAUGAAGCGAAAGUAAAAUUUCGUGGAGGUCCGAACCCACGAGCGUUGAAAAGCUCGGGGAUGACUUGUGGGUAGCGGUGAAAUUCCAAUCGAGCCCGGAGAUAGCUGGUUCUCCCCGAAAUAGCUUUAGGGCUAGCCUCAAGGUGAGAGAUACGGAGGUAGAGCACUGAAUGUCCUAGGGGGUAUUGCACCUACCGAAGACUAUCAAACUCCGAAUGCCGUCAUCUUAUACUUGGGAGUCAGACUGUGGGUGAUAAGAUUCAUAGUCGAAAGGGCAACAGCCCAGAUCGUCAGCUAAGGUCCCUAAAUGUAAGUUAAGUGGUAAAGGAUGUGGGAUUGCACAGACAACCAGGAUGUUGGCUUAGAAGCAGCCACUCAUUCAAAGAGUGCGUAAUAGCUCACUGGUCGAGUGAUCCUGCGCCGAAGAUUUCCGGGGCUAAAACUUACUACCGAAGCUACGGCAUCAGUAAUGAUGGGUAGGGGAGCUUCCCAUACGGGUUGAAGCAUGACCGUAAGGACAUGUGGACAGUAUGGGAGUGAGAAUGUUGGCAUGAGUAGCGAGAUGUGGGUGAGAAUCCCACAGGCCGUAAACCCAAGGUUUCCAGGGGAAGGUUCGUCCGCCCUGGGUUAGUCGGGACCUAAGCUGAGGCCGAAAGGCGUAGGUGAUGGACAACAGGUUGAUAUUCCUGUACUACCGAUAACCGUUUGAGAGAAGGGAUGACACAGUAGGAUAAGCUAAGCACACUGUUGGUUAUGUGUGCCCAAGCAUUGAGGCAGUCAAAGUAGGCAAAUCCGCUUUGAUAAUGCUGGGAUGUGAUGGGGAGCGAAAUUUAGUAGCGAAGUAGCUGAUUUCACACUGUCAAGAAAAGUCUCUAUCGAGGUUAAAGGUACCCGUACCGCAAACCGACACAGGUGGGUGAGGAGAGUAUCCUAAGGCCAGCGAGAGAACUGUUGUUAAGGAACUCGGCAAAAUGACCCCGUAACUUAGGGAUAAGGGGUGCCACCAUCAGGUGGCCGCAGAGAAUAGGCCCAAGCGACUGUUUACCAAAAACAUAGGUUUCUGCUAAGUCGCAAGACGAUGUAUAGGAGCUGACGCCUGCCCGGUGCUGGAAGGUUAAGGGGAUCUGUUAGAG